rnacentral:lncRNA from 1 species
GGGGUGCCCUGCAUCACUUUGGGUGUCUCUUGGUUCCGAGGGAGUCAGAGAGGUCAGGUCGGACUGGAGAGGGGGCGAGGGCCCCGUGGCGGGGGGUGCGGAGCGUGUCUGAGUAGGGCCUCCGGUGGCGCUGGGGAGAGCCCUUCCCCCGUCCUCCUCCCCGCCCUCGCGCAGCCCCUCUGGGACACUGGUGGCCCCUCGGGGCCCAUGUUCCUGGCGCCUGCGUGUUGGCCUGGGCACUGGCACGGGCUGCCUGAGCAGGACCCACACCGAGCGGCUCCGGGGUGGCUGCCUCCAGGUCUGAUCUCGUGGGAGCCUCUGCUUUGCCAGCCAGGUCACCGGGAGCCCUGUGCCUCAGUUUUGGGAGUUUCUCAGAACCAGCAGGAGUCUUGACUGGGGCUCUGUCUCCGCGUGAUCUUUAGGUGACGACACGCGCUAAGGAGAACCUGCAGACGCUCCACAAACGGCUCGAACCGCGAGUGGGCUCAGCACAGUUAGAGCGGGUGCCAGGGGGGUCUGCACAGACUCGGGUCACUUCCCACCCGCCCGUCCACCAGGAAGUAGAGCGACAGGGACAUACUUCUGCCAGGAGCAAGAAACCCCUCCAGUGUCUAAUCAGGACUGAAAAGACCCCCAGACUUCACAACGGGCGCCAGAGCGGACCCCACGCUCUUGGUCCUGGGGCGCUGUCCCUCCCCCGUAAUCCGGAUGCUUUCCAGCGUUGUUAGGAAACGGUCUCUUGACGGCAGGCACCUUGCUUGGUUUCUUGCCGCGUCCCCAGGAUUUAGAACGGAGCUGGGCACAGACAAGGCUUUCAAGACGCCGUUGCAGGCUGAAUAAAAGGCACCGUCGUGCUCCCAGCAGGUCGCGUGCCUGCCUUUCCACUUGCCAGGCCCGAGGCGCCUUUUCUCUUGGACGUGACCGUCGUGUUCACGGAGGGGGAGCUGCGGGGGGGAACUGCGGUGGAUUCCUCUGCCCCUGGGGUGACAUGUAGGCUCUGUUUCCACAUAUCCAGCUUUCUUGCCAUGAGUGUUUGUUUUGGUUUUGGUUUUUAGGGCCGAACCCACGGCCGGUGGAAGUUCCCAGGCUAGGGGUUGAAUUGCUGGCCUGCACCACAGCCCUGUAAGGUGGGAUCUGAGCUGGAUUAGCCACCUGCACCAGAGCUCAUGGCAACGUCAGAUCCCCGACCCACUGAGCGAGGCCAAGCGUCGAACUCGCAUCCUCGUGGAUACUGGUCAGGUUUUUCCCAAGAUGAGCCUGCCGCUGAUUUAUCUUGGGCUGGAUGCUUUUCUGAUCUCCCGGGGAACCAUCGCUUUUCACUUAGUCGCGUGGCGGCUGACCCGGAGGCCGUGUAGCCCAGCGGGCCGACUGAGGCCUCGAGCAGAGCAGGCGGCUUCCUUGGCAGCACGGCGAGCUCUGCUGGGAGCAGGCGCCGCAGUGUCACACCCGCGGCUUCGGCUGGAGUUGGAGGGAGCGCCCCAGACUGAGCCCCGGAGGCUGCCCCCUGCCCCCGCCCGGGCCUCCUCCUCCGGAGCCGGAUCAGGCGGCAUUGCCACCUACCAGCAGCGUCCUGCUGGCUCCUUGGCCGUCCUGCGGG